UACGGAGGGUGCAAGCGUUAUUCGGAAUUACUGGGCGUAAAGCGCACGUAGGUGGUUUUCUAAGUCAGCUGUGAAAUCCCCGGGCUCAACCUGGGACUUGCAGUUGAAACUGGAAAGCUAGAGUAGGGUAGAGGGGUGUGGAAUUCCAGGUGUAGCGGUGAAAUGCGUAGAUAUCUGGAGGAACAUCAGUGGCGAAGGCGACACCCUGGGCUCAUACUGACACUGAGGUGCGAAAGCGUGGGGAGCAAACAGG
rnacentral:rRNA from 1 species